UAAGGAAUAUUGGUCAAUGGACGCAAGUCUGAACCAGCCAUGCCGCGUGAAGGAUGAAGGUCCUCUGGAUCGUAAACUUCUUUUAUGUGGGAAGAAACCACUCUUUUCUAAGGGUGUUGACGGUACCAUAGGAAUAAGCACCGGCUAACUCCGUGCCAGCAGCCGCGGUAAUACGGAGGGUGCAAGCGUUAUCCGGAUUCACUGGGUUUAAAGGGUGCGUAGGCGGAUUAGUAAGUCCGUGGUGAAAUCUCCAAGCUUAACUUGGAAACUGCCAUGGAUACUAUUAAUCUUGAAUGUUGUGGAGGUUAGCGGAAUAUGUCAUGUAGCGGUGAAAUGCAUAGAUAUGACAUAGAACACCAAUUGCGAAGGCAGCUGGCUACACAAAUAUUGACGCUGAUGCACGAAAGCGUGGGGAUCAAACA
rnacentral:rRNA from 1 species